AGCUUUCCCCUAAGCAGUUCUUUCCCCAAGGCACCGGUUCUGCUCUUUCUCGGCCGGAGAUGCGCCGUUUCCUCCUCUCCCCGCGGUCCUCGCUGUCGCCGAGCAUCUCUGCCCAAAGGGAGAAGCGGAGCGCGGUGGGUGCCCGGCUCCUCUCCCACGUUCCCGGGGCAGUUUCUCCCCACCUGGGCUUUCCUCCCCACCCCGCAGCAUCACCCAGCAGGGCUCGCACCGCUCCUCGAGGAAUAACGGGGGGUCGCGGUGCCGGGCGGGCGACGGGAUGCGACCCGGGGCCGGGAAAACUUCCCAAGUUCUGGAUUUGCACAAUUAAAAGCAAACCUGUAGUUUUUUGUUUUGUUUUUGUUUUUCAAACGAGUUACCGCCAGGCUGUGUCUUUCGCAGUGUUUUAACUGCUUUUGGUUCUCGGGGAGGGACCCCCCAAACGGCGGUUUCCCCCUCGAACCGGCGCUGCUCAGCCUGCGGUCCCAGGCGCGUCGUGGCUGCGGUGUUCGGUGUUUCGGAUGGAGAUUUCGGGGAGGAUUUGCCUUUAGCCUUUGCAAAUCCCCAUCUCUGACUCCUGUUCCCACGACCGAAAUCUCCCCUCGGCUUUUUUUUUUUCUUACUUCUCUCUCCUGCGCGAGUGAGAAAGUUGGAAAACUCGAGAAGUCGAUUAAUGCGAAGGGAUUUUAAAACACCAAAGUAUGCGAUGACAGGAAAAAAAAAACCCACCCCAACCACCUAAUUAGAUAUUUACCGAAGGAGUCAUUACAGCCUGCUGGGUAAAACACAGAGUUUAUAAGUUCUCUGGCCACAAAGAAAUUCAGUAAUUACUCUUUUUUUCUCCCUUACAAUGGGAUGGGUUGAGGAUGGAGUGUGAUAAACUUAACUCUGGGCUUUUUGUAGAUUAGCCCUUGGCAAUCGUUGGUAAAUACCAAGUGAAUAGAGACUGUGUGACCACAGUCCCUUGAAUUAGGGACAAACAUUUCCUCUGUGCAUUUUAAAUAAUGCUACUGCCAAAUAUUUUGUUACCAGAGAUCAUUAUCCUUUGAAUGAAAACUGGAGGAGUAAAGGCAUUGGUUUUGUCUUUGCUGGUGUGGAACAGACUAUAUGAUAUCUAGAACAGCAACGAGCUUUCACAAAUUGCUAUAUGAUUUCUACCGCCAGGUUCUGUGAUAUUGGAUACGACAUAAAAAUAAAAAAGCCGGGCAGAUAGACACAGAAACUCACAGAAACCACCUGUAUAUUUUGUUUCAAAGGAAAAUCUCAGCUAUUGUCUUACUGGCUCUGGUUCUGUUAGGCCUUGGAUCUGCUUAAUCUUUAAAGCUAUUCAAACAAAUUGAAUGAUACAAGGCAAGGCUUCUAUAAUUAAUCUGGAUUCUUGAAUUUUGAUACAAACUUUUAUGUAACUGAGAAGUUUCUCCCUUUUCCUUGCAAAGACACUAAAUAGACACUAAAUCCUUCUGUCAAGAGUGCUACCGUGAACAAAGUUAAAAGGAACAAACCUGGAAAUUUUCCCUUCGAAAGGAAGAAAGGGAGGAAUGUUAGAAAGAGAUGCAAACAUAAAGCCAUGGGAGAGCUGGUACUGGUGUCUGGACAGACACCAAGGUUUAAAGUGGCCCUUACGCUACCAGCUGCCUGACCAUGAACAUGGGAAUCGUGGUUUGUCCCAGGUAAAGCUUUUGCAGGAUGUUAUUUUGUCAGUUUAUUUUAACCUCACGGGCAUUCAGUGCUGGCACUCAAAGGUCUCAUUUGAACGUUUUAAAAUGUUUAUUCUUUCACUGCUACAGUCCAAAGAAAAUGGAAACGACACCAUCUUGGAUGGAAGCACUCGUGUUGUUAACCCUGAUCUGCCACUGCAGAGGCUGAAGCUUUGGCUGUGGUCUGUCCCUUCUCACAUUAUGCAAUUUGCUCUCGAUAUUUGGCAGAACUACUGCAGAAUGAAUACUUCGCAGAGCUCUGCAUCCUGCGAUGAGGCAUUGCUGAAAUCCCCCAAUGUAUGACUCCUUUGUAGGAGUCAGUAUUUUAUCUGGAUUACCAGGAAAGGAAGAAUGACCUAUUUUCUUUCUUUGCUGUUGUUUUUGUGACAUGGGGUGUCCUGCCUGUGACUUUAGUGGAAAAAUCAAUACACAGAGAAAAGCCUUUAGGCCUAGACCUGCUAAAUAACUUACAGGCUGCAGAUAUAAUUUCUACUGAGACUACUGGUAAAAUCCUCACAGACCCAGCACAGACUCAGUUGGUGUAGGCAACCCUCCAGGUUGCCCUGACAGCUCUGGCUUUCUGGCUCUCCAGGUUUCCUCCACUUGUGCAGAUUUUUCUUUUAAUCAUGUAAAAUGCAGCAAAAGAAUGAAAAUCUUUCAGGUUUUGAAGCUGAUUUCCCUGACCGUGAUGGUUUAUACAGUGCAGUUCUACCGUCAGGUAGCUCUUAUUGAAAGGAACACUCUGCCCUUGGGCAAUUCCCUGCUAGUUGGAUGAGCUGGGUUUCCUUUAAUUUCCAAGCAGACAUGGGUAUGACUGUCUUUUCACGGACACAAAGAGAAGUGGUGAUGACUGUACAGACAGAGCAGAAAGCUGUGCCCAGGGCCAGCCUGCCAUGCAGUCCUGUCCCAGGUCACAUCAGGCCACUCCCUGUCUGGUAGAUGCCCUACCCUCGAUGCCAGUCAACAGUUCCACCUUUUUCUCAUCGAGGUGUAGUUUCAAACCAUGUGCACAGGAUGCCAGUGCUCUGUGUCAGCCCUUUGCCGCUCACAUUACCAGUUUCUCCAGAAAGGCACAGUAAUGCCCAAGGCUUGUUCUCCAUUCCCUACAGAGGUGUCACCUCCUCAAGACUGUCUAAAGACUGUUUGGAAUGAGGCUGUUCAUGUUAGGAUGGGAAAUAAAAGAGAACAAAGGCCAUACUAAUUUCUCUGGUCCCCAUGGAAGAGGGGGACAACCCAAAGUUGCCCACACAAUGGCCCAGACAGGAUGGUUUUCAGGUGCCAGCAGCUCCCAGGUGCCAAUGCCACUGGGUCUUGUCACAGCUGCUUAGCGCGCCGGCCCAGAGAGGCCACUGCUGAUAACCCUCUCCAGGUGUUCAGCACAAGAACAAAGGGCCUUUUCAGUGGCUGCUGAGAAGGAAGACGCUUCCUUGCUGGUUGCAAAAUGGCUUUCCUGGAUGGCAAUAUUUGGUUACAGUAAGAUCUGUUAUUUCAGAAGAAGCCCUGCAGAAGGGAGAGUAAUUUGACUCAGGCACGUAAAACCAAUGUGGGGACUCUUGUCUCCCUCCUUCUUCUCCCCAAAGUACUGAAACAACACUGAGUUGUAAUAUUUCCUCUGAGCAUGGGAAAACUGAACCUGGGACUAGAAUGUAUCUCAUCUUGUUGUGCCCAUUUACAUCAGGGUGAGUUAGUUCAUCAUCCUGAAGAUACAGGGCAUCCUGAAGAGCAACAGCGACUUACCUGGUUGGUUAGCAAAAAACCCCAAUGUCUUCUGAGCACAAAAGAGAGAUGAGAGAAGCUAUGUGCUGGCAGAGGCACAGUCCAGGGAAGGUUUUUUCUCAGCCUAUGAACCUGGAUUUUAAUGUUUGUGUUGGAACACCUUCAUGGAAUGGUUUGACAGCAAAACCUGCACUGUUUGCCCAGGGAAACCUGAGAGAAUACUCGGUCCAGUGGAUGAGAGCAAGGAUGUAUUUUUUCUGUAUUUCCCAAGUGGAUUAGUCUUGAUCCCUGUACUCUGUGUAUUUUGGCACUGGAGGGAGUGCUGAAGAGGAAGGUACUUGUGCAUGUGACCAUCCAGCACAGCCGUCUAGAGGUGGCGCAUUCUUCCUUUCCCACACAGCCAACUGCCAAGGGAAGGAGCACCCCUUCUAUAAGCACUGCCGUGAUGUUGUCCAUGUAUUUUCCAAUUCUAGCACCAAUUGAAGGCUUUCUGUGUUCUCCUACAACCCUCACCAUGGUUGUUAUCUCUAUGAGAUACUCCCAGCAUGUUCCUUUACUGUGGCUGCUCAGCUACGUUUUCCCUAUAACCCAUAAGCUGUUCUUCUGCACAAGAACAGAGAACCAGUGCCCUCUGGUAUGUUGGAGGUGAUUAAUUUAAAAUGAUUUUCUCCAUUUCCUUCAGGUAGAAGUGAGGACAAUCCAAGGAAACUUCUCCCACCAAAGAGACAUUUCCCAUCUAUGAUAGAAAAACAGAGAGAUGUUGCAUUCAUCUCAAAUGUUCAUGGUUAGUGGAAGAGAAAGGACGUCUAACUUCUUCUCUUUUUUUUUAAUACCUACCAAGCUCAACAUGGGAAUUCAUACAUACAUAAGUGUAUAUAUAAAGAUAAACUUCUCUUUUUAGGUAAGCAGAAAAACAUUAGCUCAGAAAUUGUGCUUUUCAAUCAAGCAGUACUAUUUCCUAAUAGAGGCAAGGCUAUCCUAAAUCUUCAAAUGCACCAGCUAACGUCUAUACAAAUAAUGGGAUUUGGCUGAGUACAGUUAAAUAUAUUUGAUUACUUCCCUUUUAUCUCGUUCUAGGUUUACUGUACUUUUCCUUGGAUGGCAAAUAAGAAGCCCUUUUCUUCUAAGUGACAGCAGGGAAAAGAAUCAGGUUGCUAAUUUACCUGAGACCCGGGAGUGUGUAAUGAUAGAUGUGUGCUAGAAAUACAGAGUGGGCUUUCUAAUUUUGGGGGGGAGGAGAGAGGGGAAGUGUGAGAUUCAUUAAUCUUUCAAAUUGAUUGCACUUUUGCUGAUGGACUUUCAUGGUCAUAAUUACAUGCACAGCAGGAAACAAAUGCAGUGAGAAGAUCAUCUGGCAAGAAGCAGGGACCUCACAAAAUUGUCAUACAGGAAGCAUUUGAAAGGGAAAAUCACUGUUCUCUAGACAGACAAGGACAUAUCAUGCUUGUACGUGCUUACAGUAUCUACCUCAAAAUAAAUGUUAGACUUAGGUUAGACUUACCUGUAGUGUUGUGGAGAAGUGAGCUCAUCAGAAGUCAGCACAUACACAGUCCAGGACAAGUUGGGUUAAACAAGCAGAAAUUCCUGUGUGGAUUUUCAGUGUUGGUCUUCAUCGGUGACCAGCAUCAGGGUUCAGGAAUCAGUGACCACCCUGGGGAGCCACAGCUGGCGAAGUGUCUCUGUGCUGCUGCUGUCACCAGGCCUGCAUGGUACCAGUUCUUCCGAGGGCAUACGUCACUUGGUUCUUUGUGCAUUAGUAAACAGAGCCUCUCCAUCAAAGUCGUCUUGGCAAUAGUGAAGGAAAGAGGCAGGAGGGGAGGGCGAUGGGAGGAUGGAUUGCAGGCAGGCACUGAAGGUUCAUGCCUAUGGUUUAGGUUUGUUUCAAAAUAGGUGUCUUACCUCCCCAAGGGAAAGCAAAAGCCCAGCACGUGUCCCUGUUUCCAUGAUGACCAGGUAAAACGGGCAUAAAGCAUAAGCAGCUUUGUGUGAAAAGUCAUUCUCUAGGUAGGAAAAAAGACCUGUAGCAGACCUGAAUCUGAGCCCAAGUUAAGUUUGCAGUGCAGAUGUGUUGUUAAUCUGAUUUAGGAAGAGCUUAUCUCCCCUUCUCCCUUCCUUUGCCGCCUUCUAGGAUCACCUGUGGGCAGGCCAAAUUCAAGCCAGGCUUUCACCUGGAGAGGUGUGUUCACACCAGCUGAGAGGAGAAGUUCUAGAGGAUGAGAGGAAGCAAGUUAUCCACAUCACACAACAGGAGGUUCAACAUACCAGUUCUUCCUCUGGCUCUCUUUUAUCUGGUUCAUAUAUGAUGUUGGUUGCAUAGAAAUGCAGAAAGAUGCCAUAAUUUCCUGUAGGCAUGUCUGUAUGAAUUCUACGCUUCCAGCAGACCCCGUUUCCUUAAAAUACCUACAAGAUCCCCAAACUGGGCAAGCAGCUUUUGUCUGUCUCUUCUGUUUUGCAGAAAGAAAUCCUAUAGUGACUUUCAAGUAGAAAAAAAUUAGAGAAAUAAUAACAUGACCCAACUGCAAAAAUAUUUUUUUUCAUGAACUAUACCAAUGAAUUGGAAAUGCGAGUAGUAAAACGAAUUGCCAAAAGUAUCAAAUAUAUGUGUUUUCAAUAACUUUUUUUUUUUUGUUACCUAGUAAAACAUUUUCCUGGAGAAGGGUUGUUAAACCCCUCUGUGCAAUAUAAAGGUGCAGUGGUAGAUUGUCUCAGAAGUGGUUUAAUGGAGUUUUGGGGUCCCAUUUUUGUACAUAUUUCAACACACACAGGGCACGAUCAAUUUGGGUUUAUAAAAUGCUAUAUAUUUCUUCCUAAGCAAUGAUCUUAACUUUUAAAGAAUGUUGCUUAGUUAGGAGUGCAUGUGCGUGUUUGCAUUUUGGCAAGGCAGCCAAUAACAUACAAUAUUUAUGUCAUUUGAGAAAAGUAUUUUGUGCAUUUGCCAAGAACCAGUACUUCCUAAGAACCUAAAGGUAUUUGAUCUGCUCUAAAACAGUCCUAGGAGGAGGAUUAGGUGGGUGGGAGCAGUGGGCAGAGGGAAGGUCUGCCCAGUCUUUGCAGUGUGAAAAGGCAAGGUUUUAAACAAACACAUCGGAUCUCAUUUCAGCUCAACCUCCUUGAAUCUGUUUCUAUGGAAUGAGUUCAGACUUACCUGUGGAUUUACUGCCAAAACCCUGAGUUUUUGCAAUCAGAUUGCCAAUCCAGGUUGGGCUGCACUGAGUAAAAGUCCAUUCCCAGCUUUCCUGCCAUAGCUACUGCAAACAACACAGGGAGGUCAACCCUCCGCAGGGAGACUAAUGAUUAGAUGUACAGAGCAAAAAUGGCAAAAAGACAUGGUCUUGUGUUAUACCAGCAUACCCCCCUCCAAAGCUGACACUUUUCAGCCGUCUUAGCAGGAAAAACAACCAAGAGCUGAGAGCACGGAGAUGGAGAAGAUUGUAUGAUCAUUAUUUAGCCAUAUCCUGAUCUCUGUUACUCUGCUUCCUUUAUCCAUUGGUGUAAUGGAGAUCAGGAUCCAUCCUUGGCCACCUGGUAUCAGCUGUUGCUUAUUCAUUUGAAAAAGAGAAAGCCUCUUGCCUUGCACACACCCCAGCUACCCGUAUAGACCCGUUGCACUGAAAUUUUUGUGCCAAAUCCAAUGAUAUAAAGUUUCAUUCAGAUAUUUUUUCCGCCUCCCUUUCCCCCCCCUUCUUUUUUGCUUUAUCUCUUCCUUCCAUCUUCAGCCUGUCAGGACUUUCACAUACCUGUAGCUGACAGCUAAGAGAUCAGGAACUUUGAUGUUGUAAGGGAUAUUUUAUCUCAGGUAAUUCUCACCAAUUCCUACCUUAUUGUGUAGGAUAUCCAAGGACUCCGAGAGUGAGCAACGCCUUUGUCUGGUAAGAUCAGAGCAAUUUGCAAGCUUUUCUGGGAACAAGGUCCAAUAAAGGGACUUUAGAGAUAUAAUCUGUCAACCCCAUUGAGCAGCACUGUGACAGCAGCCUUAUGAUUAUUGACAGUUUAAGCAUCGCCCAGGACAGAACAAGGCUGGAGGUAUGCAGUUAUUUGUAGUAAAACAUUGUUUUGCUGAGGAGGCAAAGGAAACCCUUUAUACCCGAAUUCACCAAGAUUUUACCAAGUUUCUCCCUCACGCAAACAACUGACCUACCUGGGAGCUGCUGCUUUUCACCAGGAGUUUGAGGAAAAAGAACCUCCCUGAGCUGCAACCCCUACUUCACAAAGGUGACCUCAUUUUAUGGUGAGAGCUUUGAAGGGUCAACCCAGUACGGGCAGUCCUGCACUUGCAGCCACGGGGCAGAGGGUGGAUGGACUGCCCCCGCACUGUCCAAGACAUGUGCUGCAUGGCUUUGGCAUCACGGACAGGUGCAGCUGUGAGGACAUGCAAAGCCUUUUCUUCAGUUUCCAGUCCUAUGGUAAGUACGGUGUGGGGCAGGAGUAACGAGAGGGCUGUUCUGCCCUGAGCCCUGUGUUUGAAAUUCUCUUUUUCACUGUGCUACCUUGCUCCAUUCUUCUAAAUCUCCUCAUUCCCAGUGACUCACACUGAGAUGGCAGAGGUUUUAUGCGGGAUCAACCAUCCAUCAUCUCUUCAAACAGCUAUGGCAUGGAGUGCUCUAGAAAAUUACUUACAGAAGCUCAGCAGUAAACACUCAGGCCUCACAUCUUUAUAAACAUAUUAACAAAGUCUCCAGAUCAUCUUCAGUGGUGACGGCUCAGUCUCUCGCAGCAGCUUUUUGAGGACAAAACCUUUCUGCAGAGGUAAGUAAUGGGCUUGUAUCCAUCCACCCCUGGUUUUCAUAGUUAUCGAGCUGAUGUUAAUAUGCCCUCCUGGUAGGUGUUUGUGAACUUCCUGAAUAAUUAACCUUUGCUUACUGAUGAUCAGGCAGGCGUGUCAGUGUUGGUCAUGCCAACCUACAAUCAAGCCUUGGAUUGCUCCCAAAGCUCCUUUUGCUGCUCUCUUGAACCUUUAGCCAUCCUUCGCACCCAUUCUCUGCCCUCACCAAGGAUGUGGCUGUCAGCACCCAGCAUUUUGAAGCCAAUACUUGGCAACUUUGGUGUACAGAUCCUGUGGCACAGUGGCAGCUUCACAACACAAAGUGUAGCCCAAACGCUGAUGACACCAACUGUGUGGUUUUAUUGGGUUUCCAAAAUAAAUGCCGAACCCAUUACAAAACGGCUGGCACGUGGAGAUAACUCAAUUUCCAGCCCCUCCACUGUGCUGAAAAUGCUUUUCCUGACUGUAGAAGAGACCCAGCAUGCAAAGGGCCAUGCAAAGUUGUGCCCACUUGGCAGAGGCACCAACAGCAGCAGGCAGAGAGCAGGGCAGGCAAACCCCUCACUGGCUCGCCAGAGCAAAGGGGCUGAGGGCAGCUACGUCGCCGGAGGACAGGACGCCGUAACUGCUGAGAGAGGUUGAGGCUUUAUCCAAGGAUUGGACGGGUGCAAAUUGCAUGAUUUCAGUGUCUCUGCCCUAGGGUUUGUUUAUUCUUUAAUUAGUGUCUUGGGGAAAGUAGAUGACGGGGUGCAGGCAGAAAGCAGCUGUGAGUGGUGUAAGAGGAGAAUCCUGCCAGCCCACAUUGGCCAUGGAUCUUGGCUGCUGCCACUGAGGGAAGAGCCGCUUGUGCCCUUGGGAGCGAGGCGCUGGCUGUGCCCCUGAGCAUCUACCUGACAGGAGACUCUUGGAACAGCUCCAACAUGUUUACUCAGUAAUAAAUUCUGACUUGUUUUCCCAAAUCACCUCAUAAUGACUCAGUUUGAAUCUAAUGAUGCAAUCCUGAAGGGAAUCAUUAGCUCCCCAGCUAGGAGGGUCGGCCACUCUCCAGCUCCAGCCCACGUGGUGGCUGCUGAUUGCGGCAUUGUUUCGUGCAGCUCCAUGUACGCUGGCUCGGUGCAUGCCAGCUCCUGGGUGUACAUUCUUUCUAGGGAUACCUCACCCCAUCCUGUUACAGUUCAUGCCAGUGCUUCCCUCCUAGUCAUCUAGGUACAAGAUGGAAAAGACCAAUCUGGUUUUGAUCAGGUGAGAACAAAUAUGGUGGUGAUACCAUGCUGUUGAGCUGGUGGGUGUUUGCAGUUCAGUCUCUCUUGUCAAUCCCUGAUAUGGUCCCUUCCUUGUUCCGUGAGGAACAGAUGGAGAAGGUACUUGGGAGAGCUCUGCAGAGCAAACACCUCUUCUACUGUCUGUUACUCAUGCAGACAGGCAAGCUGACCAAAGGCGCAGAAGAAAAAAAAAAAGAUGACUUUUCAAGCCAACACUGGCAUCGUGUCUACACUGGAAGAUGUAGAAGAGGUUCACUGCCAUAUUAGAUCCAGUCCCAAAUUAAAAUCUCUCUCCCAGCGACAGCAUGUCCCACAAUAGUCUGACACAUUGUGUGGGCUGCUGAAAUGACACUAAUUUGCACCUUCCACUUCAUUAUGCACUCCAGACUUCAUGAUCCUAUUGAGGUAGAAGCCUGGCAGAGACAACUUUACCAAGAGUUCCACACUGACAUCAUUUGUACAUUUGUUCAUUGGCGCUUGAUUUUCCAGGUUGUGCUGCAACUUCAGCACAGGGUGUUAAAUGAUUUACUGCGGUAAGACAAUGGCAAGGCCAAGAAUAAAACCUAGGUAUCAUUAGCCCCAAGAUACUACGACAACCAACUAGUGUUAGAAAACACUCCCUGCCACCGCCUCACACUUUUAUUUAUCAACAAAACCGUGUUUGUUUUGUUUUAUUCCUAGUAAGACAUUGUUUCACUGGAUACCACUUAAAAUCAGAUUUAUCUUCCUUGGAAUAACUACAAACUCUUGCAGUUGUAAUUCACUCCCCUCCCAUUUCUAAUCUCAUUUCUAGUGAAUGCAUUGUUUUUCUUUCCAUUAGUUAUAAAAUGAGAUCAUUAAAACGAAUAUUGGAACUCAACAGGUUUGGGGCAUGAAGAAACUUCACUGCAGAUGCAUCCUAAAUGUAAUGAGAUUGCUGCAGAGACUUUCUCAGUUAAAUGGCAGAAAAAAUCUCUUUCUUAUGCCAUUUAUUUGUGCUUCUGUUUUGACUUUUUGGGAACAAAAGAAAUUCUGGUUCCUGAAGUCUACAGCACUUUUUGCAAGAGAUAACUCUGCUAAUGCGCCAGCGCUUACCUGUGGGAGCGCUUCAGAGGAUGAGGUUGCUGGGCUGGAUCCUUCUCCCUGCACCGAUGCAAAUAAGAGGGAACCUCCCAGCUGAUGUGCCUGACCUGCUGCUUCCAGCGCUGCGCCUCCGGUGGAGAAGAAUCCUGACCCCUGCAAGGGUUGCGAGAUUGGGAUCUAUAACUCACUGACUCAGCUGAAUCCAGAGAGCAAUUACAUUUUGCCUAAAAAUAAAC